AGUCGAACGAAGUAGCAAUACUUAGUGGCAGACGGGUGAGUAACAUGUAGGUAUCUGCCCUUUGGCCUGGAAUAACACGAGGAAACUUGUGCUAAUACCGGAUAAGUCUUUACGGAGAAAGCUUUAUGCACCAUUGGAUGAGCCUGCACUUGAUUAGUUUGUUGGUGGGGUAAUGGCCUACCAAGACUGUGAUCAAUAGCUGAUUUGAGAGGAUGAUCAGCCACAUUGGGACUGAGACACGGCCCAAACUCCUACGGGAGGCAGCAGUGGGGAAUCUUGCACAAUGGAGGAAACUCUGAUGCAGCGAUGCCGCGUGAGUGAAGAAGGCCCUUGGGUUGUAAAGCUCUUUCGUCGGGGAAGAAAAUGACUGUACCCGAAUAAGAAGGUCCGGC
rnacentral:rRNA from 1 species